GGCUUAAAUGUUAAUAAAUUAAUAAAUAAUCAUUCACUUUAACUUUUAAAAAAAACUUAAUUUUAUUGUUCUAGGCCUAUUUGUGUAAGGAUUUGAAACUGUCUUUAAUAUUAAUUCAGAGAUAGAGAGAGAGAGAGGAACAGUAGACACAAUUAUAGAACACAUUUCUACAUGUUAAACAAACAGUCACAGUGUAUUUUGAUAGGUAUUAAUUUUGAAAAAAAUUAGUCAACUAGAAUUCUAAAUUGAUUCAAGAUUGUCAUUCAAAUUUCUAUUACUGUUACAGCUCCCUAUGGGAGAAUAAGAUGUCAUCAUCAUCACUCCUUUGUGGCCCCUGGGGAGCAAAGGGCUGCAACCACACAUCUCCAGCGGACUCGGUUUUGGGCUGCUCUCCUUGGCCGGCCCACCCUCCUUUUUCCCUGGGAAUUCCAGUCUAAUGCAUGUUUUGAUGAAUAAGAUGUCUCCAGGUGUUGUGUGUAUCAAUCAGCCCACUGUAUCAAUCUUUUAAUAAAUUAUAAGGUCCCCACUGCUUGAUACUUCACCAAAUACUGGCUACACCAGAAGAUGACUAAAUGUUCUUAACACUUAACAACUACCACAAGCAUUACUUCUGGGUCACUCUGAAGGGUCUAAUCGUUCAAUUACUGAAUUGAUAAAGUUGAUGAAAUUGCUCAAAAGUUGUCUGGCACCUUCUUAACUCGGAGACAUAGGAAUGUGGAUGGAUUAUGACAUACCUUGCACAAAUCAACAACCAGGCUUUUAUUGGAUUUGAAUCCCAAAGGAAAGAGAAAUUUUGUUAUCCAAAACAAACAUGGAAAAUAUCAGAAACCAACAAAACACAAGCAGGCAGAGUGUUAUGGACCCAACUUUGGGGAAUCUCCUAAAACCAAGUAUAAAAAUAGAGAGGUGUGGUUGUGUCUCUCAGCUCCACAAGGGUCCACAAAAAUGAGGACAACAGUGAUUUUCGUAAUAAUUUUAGAUCAGAUUUAAAAAAAAAAUUUGAUCAGUUGAAUCAGGUUAACAGUUUAAUACAUAUUGCAUUUAAGUGCUUAACGAAAAGAAAAGAUGCUCUUACCAAAAUAGUCUAAGAACAAUGCUGAUUUUAAAUUAAUAAAUUGUUUCCUUUUGUAAUAAUAUAAUAAUUUAACUUAAGUUGGCAUUGUAUGUAUGUUUAGUGUAGAUUUAAUGCCCUAAAUGAAAUAUACAAUUGACAUUUUUUUCUUUAAAGAAUUAGUUGCAAAUUUCUUUCAUUAUUUAGUUUCACUGUACAAUCUGAAAAAAGCUUGCAACAUUUGUAUUGACAAUACUUCUGCUGGUGAUAUUUAUUUCUAAUUAAUGAAGUAAAUUAAUAUAUAUUCAGUUUACUAUAAUUAAAUACCUCAUACUCGAGACAAAAAAAAAACAUUUAUUGAAUAUCGCAGUGAUAUUCCUGUUCUACACAAUGCGUAUAAACCCUCGAACCAUCUGUCUUUUGAAAGAUUGUACAUUUUGUAUACACAAUGGCAUUCAUUUCAACACUAUUUAACCACAAUUAUAAUCUAGAGAUCCUGAACAUAUUUUCGUUCUGUUAUUUAUGGACAAGGCAGACUGGUCCAGCAUUAAAAUGUAAUAUACCUUAAUUAGAAUACUUAAACGAGCUAUGCAAUUAAAUGUUGUUAGACAAAUAUUUUAUACUUUUUAUUUUUAAUGUUAUGUUUACGUAUCAUAGUACAAGACAGCUUCUGUAUUCUUGUACAGUAAAUUAAGUUUUUACAUUAGUUUAAUUUAAACUGUAGGCCUGCUUAACAUCUGUUACAUUAUAUGAAAAUGUUUUGUAUAUUUGUUUUAAUUUGUUUGUAUAAAAGUCAAAAUGAAAGUUACUACACUAUUAUUUACAUAUUCGUUUUCAAUCAAUACUUUAUAGUAUAGUUAUAAUUUUCUUACAAUUGAAUGGAUGGUAUAAUACAGAUUUUAAUAG